AGUACCACACCCUGAAUCAUAAUGGCCAUAAUCGACGUUGGAGCUAUGGUUACAUCUUUCACGCUCCCAAACAAAAAGUAUAUUAGGCAGCCAACAAGAUUAGAGUAUAUUCCAUCUUGAGGCUGUAGAUUUGCAAGAAUACCGUAUGCAAUACUUUGAGGUAUAGCCGUUAAGGUAACUGUAACGCCCGCAAUUAUAUCCGAUGGCAGGUGAUUUAGCUGAUACCUGGGUAGCCAUUGUAGUACGUGGAUCCGUCUACGAACCGUUGCCAGACUGCAGAUAUUACAGAAUCGUUCUCGAAUCCAACUACUGAGAUUGGGUAGACGCUCCCCGUAAUCUUCAACGUUGCGCUCUAAAAGGAAUUGUUCAAGAUUCAUUUCGGUCGAACUAACUGAAGGAAAAUACUCACCAUGCGGUUGCUGUUGGUGAAAAAGGCCAUUCUGAUUAACCAUUACUUGGCUGGCUUUUUUAUCGUCCUAUAAUGGUGCUUAUCAGCUGUUUUGAGAGAAGUGCAACAAAUUAUUACCGGCAAAUAGUAAACAGAACCACUGCAGUCGUGCCGUAAUGAACAAAUGUGCUGACUGAGCUUUUGUCGAGAACAUUGAACUGCCACACAACUACAACCUGCUACCUCAGAGGGUCUACCGUGACUGAUAGCCGUCUCUGCCUCUGUCUGUAUAAAAAGCAUCGCUGGCAAACCAUCCAUCCGUAACUGGCUCGUAAUUGAUAAGUAACUAGUGAAUGAGCGGGAAAAAUCAUAUGAUCAAUGUGUAUGGGAGAUCUUUGCUUUCCACUCGCUUAUUACCUUUUCAUUGAUAACAACGAUGUCAGAUAAACGAGUGUUGUUGCUGUCAUAAGGUUCAACGGUUUCUGCUGAGUCGUGGAGUUUUGGAUACACCUUUUCAGUACUGUAUUCCAUAUGCAAAGUAUACAGCUUCUAGCUCAUUCGCAAGUACGAGCGUUCGAUUAUCCUGUAUCAUUGUGCAUAAGUGCCAUUAUUAUCACAUCCUGUUGUGAAAUAAGUUUUUGUUCGAACCACUAAUUUAUUGUUGUCGCAGGAAAUCCCAACUCUCCAUAUUUUUUUCUUCGAUCCAAAUGCAAUUUUGUAGCCAAGAACUGCAACACAUAUAGGUACACGGUAAAAAAUGGGCACGUUUUUUUUCAAAGGAUUCUGCAUUUAACUCAAUUUGUAACAAAGCACUACGAAUUGAAGGGAAUGCGUAUUGAUUUUCAAGUGAUGCACAUAUUCCAGUGAAGUGAUCCUUAGUUGAAACUUAUACAAAAGAAAUCACCUCCAAGUUGCAAUGCAUAUCUCUUGAAUUAGCACCACUGUUUUAAUCCUUUGCAUUUGUAUUGUUUUGCACGCUAUGAAUGUCAAAACAAAACGAAGAUGGCGAACCAAAUAAACACGCUUCAAACGCAGACAAAUAUUUUUCCGGAUGAAGUCAUACCUAUUCUAGAGCAACACGGAAUUUAUCUGACGGACACGACAGCGGCAAUAAACUUAUUAACCGAACUCAAUAUUGCUUCCAUCCAAGAAACCGACGAGGAGAUUACAUUAGAGUCUUGUGUAAUUCAAACGGAUGAGGCUCUGGCCGAUGCUGAUCUAAAGGUACUGUAUAACUUUCUGAUGAAGAUUAUUUGUAGUUAUAAGGUUUAAUAAAAUAAUAAAGGUAACAAUG